CUCUACUCGGGGCUAAAGUUGUGGCUUCAAUGUUGAUGUUUGCAACAGUUGCGGGUAUACUUAUGGCCCUUUUCCUGAACACAGCUGGUGGUGCCUGGGACAAUGCAAAGAAGUAUAUAGAGACGGGCGCGCUUGGAGGCAAGGGAAGUGAUGCCCACAAAGCUGCAGUUACCGGAGACACGUAAGUCUCAUUCCUGCUUACUGGGGGGUAGUCAAAUGAAUUUCUUGCUCCUCGUUUGUUAAUCCAAGGGUCUAUAGCGGCUGUUGGGUAAUGUUUUCCAAAAUGGUUUAAAAAAAUAUAGGGUCCAUUUGUUAACUAUUCUCAAAAAUAGUUUUUUGUUUUUCAAAACAAAAAAAUAGGAAAAUAUAUUUGAUAUAAUUUUCUGAAGACUUUUAAAAAAUUAUUAUACAAAUAUGAAACACUAUAGAUAAAAAUUAUUUUUAAAAACAUAGAAAACAAGUUAACAUUCAAGUUCUCAAAUAGGUUUUUAUUUUACAAAAUAUUAAAGAAUAUUUUUCAAAAACUAUUUUUCAGAAUUUGAGAACCAUUCCUGUGAGCAAUUAUUAAUUGUACAAUUGGGAAACAAAAUUCUAUUAGGAAACCCAAAUAUAAAUGGUAGUUUUUUCUGACUUAUUUUCCAUGAAGUCACUAUGCUUUCAAAAUCAACUUUCAAAAACCUGUUUUUAGUAGAAAACCAUUUUCAAGCAUUCCCUAAUUAUUGUAUUUCCAAAAAUUACAUAACGCCCAUUUUCCUUGGUGUGCAGUGUGGGAGACCCCUUCAAAGACACGGCUGGACCGUCGCUCCAUGUUCUAAUCAAAAUGUUGGCAACCAUCACUCUGGUCAUGGCACCGGUCUUUCUGUGAGAAGAAUUGAGGCUAUAUUUAAUCUAUUUUGGUAAAUACGGUACCCAUUGCUCUCUUCGAAUCAUUUUGAUAUCUUCUUGC
rnacentral:lncRNA from 1 species